rnacentral:rRNA from 1 species
ACUCAAAGGAAUUGACGGGGACUCACACAAGCGGUGGACCAUGUGGCUUAAUUCGACAACAAACGAAGAACCUUACCAGGAUUAGAAAUCCAAAUGACCAUCCUAUGAAAGUAGGACUUCGCAAGACAUUUGGACAGGUGCUGCAUGGUUGUCGUCAGUUCGUGUCUUGAGACGUACCGUUAAUUCGGGUAACGAACGCAACCCUUGCUCUGUGUUUUACAUGUCACAGAGGACUGCCCGAGAUAAUUGGGAGGAAGGCGAGGAUGACGCCAAAUCAGCAUGGCCCUUUGAUAUCCUGGGCCGCACACGUGGUACAAUGGCCGGUACAAUGCGAUGCCAACCCGAAAGGGGGAGCAUAAUCGCACCAAAACCGGUCCCAGUUCGGAUUGAGGGCUGAAACCCGCCCUCAUGAAGUUGGAAUCGCUAGUAAUCGCCAAUCAGCUACGUGGCGAUGAAUACGUUCCUGAGUCUUGUACACACCGCCCGU